rnacentral:rRNA from 1 species
GAUGAACGCUGGCGGCGUGCUUAACACAUGCCAGUCGAACGAUGAAGCUCAGCUUGCUGGGUGGAUUAGUGGCGAACGGGUGAGUAACACGUGAGUAACCUGCCCUUAACUCUGGGAUAAGCCUGGGAAACUAGGUCUAAUACCGGAUAGGAGCGCCUACCGCAUGGUGGGUGUUGGAAAAAUUUAUCGGUUUUGGAUGGACUCGCGGCCUAUCAGCUUGUUGGUGAGGUAAUGGCUCACCAAGGCGACGACGGGUAGCCGGCCUGAGAGGGUGACCGGCCACACUGGGACUGAGACACGGCCCAGACUCCUACGGGAGGCAGCAGUGGGGAAUAUUGCACAAUGGGCGAAAGCCUGAUGCAGCGACGCCGCGUGAGGGAUGACGGCCUUCGGGUUGUAAACCUCUUUCAGUAGGGAAGAAGCGAAAGUGACGGUACCUGCAGAAGAAGCACCGGCUAACUACGUG